rnacentral:rRNA from 1 species
AGAGUUUGAUCCUGGCUCAGGAUAAACGCUGGCGGCGUGCCUAACACAUGCAAGUCGAACGCCCUGGAGAGAUCCAGGGAGUGGCGGACGGGUGAGGAACACGUGGGAAUCUACCCAGGGGAGAGGGAUACCGGCGAGAAAUCGCCGACAAACCCGCAUACGCUUCGGAAGAAGGAAAGCCGAAAGGCGCCCGUGGAUGA